GGGAUUGCCUCAGUAACGGCGAGUGAAGCGGCAACAGCUCAAAUUUGAAAUCUGGCUCCUCUGGGGGUCCGAGUUGUAAUUUGUAGAGGAUGCUUCGGGCAAGGCUGCGAUCUAAUUUGCUUGGAACAGCGAGUCACAGAGGGUGAGAGUCCCGUCUAGGACCGUGCGCCGCGUCCGUGUGAAGCUCCUUCGACGAGUCGAGUUGUUUGGGAAUGCAGCUCUAAAUGGGUGGUAAAUUUCAUCUAAAGCUAAAUAUUGGCCAGAGACCGAUAGCGCACAAGUAGAGUGAUCGAAAGAUGAAAAGCACUUUGAAAAGAGAGUUAAACAGUAUGUGAAAUUGUUGAAAGGGAAGCGCUUGCAACCAGACUUGCGCGUGACGGUUCCCCCCACCUCCUGGUGGGGCUACUCCGUCAUCUCCAGGCCAGCAUCGGUUCGGGCGGUCGGUCAAAGACCCCGGGAAUGUAUCUACCUCCGGGUCGACUUAUAGCCCGGGGUGCAAUGCGGCCCACCCGGACCGAGGAACGCGCUUCGGCCCGGAUGCUGGCGUAAUGGUUGCAAGCGGCCCGUCUUGAAACACGGACCAAGGAGUCUAACAUCUAUGCGAGUGUUUGGGUGUCAAACCCCUGCGCGGAAUGAAAGUGAACGGAGGUAAGAACCCCGCACGGGGCGCAUUAUCGACCGAUCCUGAUGUCUUCGGAUGGAUUUGAGUAAGAGCAUAGCUGUUGGGACCCGAAAGGUACGUUCCCCUCCCGACAUCCAUUCCCCCGGUCAUCCCGACGUGCGAUGAUGUGUGCUAACUUAUAUUUACAGAUGGUGAACUAUGCCUGAAUAGGGUGAAGCCAGAGGAAACUCUGGUGGAGGCUCGCAGCGGUUCUGACGUGCAAAUCGAUCGUCAAAUUUGGGCAUAGGGGCGAAAGUAAGUCUUAAUGUUUUAUUUCUUGUUCGAUCGGGCGCGUAGCCGGUUCCCCAGUUCGGUUACAGUCCAAACAUUUACAGCAGCCAAAGAACCUUGACAUGUUCCACCGACUAAAACAGCAGAAACAGUCUCUCUAGCUUAGAAGAUAAUCACGUGCCCGAUCUGUUUUCUGUUCUUUUGUGAUGGUAUAACAAGAUGCAAUGCUAACUGCCUUUUUUAAAACAGGACCAAUCGAACCAUCCUUAUGGCGUCUUGUAAAGAAACAGAAGUGUGAGGUUCUCAUAGCCGAAGGCUCUGAGUAGUAAAAUUUCUCAAAAAGGCCUCUUCCGGCACCGUUGAGGUGGUUGGUUGUUGUCACUGUUUCUUUGCAUCCGAGUCAUAAAAUCUCUAGCCAGGGCCAUUCCCUGCGCUAAAGAUUAAGCGUUGCCAGGUGGUUAAUUGCCUAACUUUCAGUUGGGUCAGUCUGAUACUUGGUAUUGGGCGACGUCGUCAGUCUUCGGGGAUGUCCUUACGGCUAUCCGAAGCCGUCCUUAUGUCGGGACGGUUCACAGACUAGACAGUGACGGCCGGAGCCUCUUGACCGGGGACGGUGAUUAUAUAGUCGAGUAAAGUUAUUGGAUCUUGCGAGUAUUUUAACCAGAAUACUCGGUAGACCGUACGUGAUCAUGUACGCCUUAUUAGGCUUGUAGGCCUCUUUGAGGUUGGUCUUGAGAGAAUUCCGUAGCUUUUGAACGCUGGUAGCUGGUUCCUGUCGAAGUUUCCCUCAGGAUAGCAGUAACGUUUUCAGUUUUAUGAGGUAAAGCGAAUGAUUAGAGGCCUUGGGGUUGAAACAACCUUAACCUAUUCUCAAACUUUAAAUAUGUAAGAAGUCCUUGUUGCUUCAUUGAACGUGGACAUUCGAAUGUAUCGUUACUAGUGGGCCAUUUUUGGUAAGCAGAACUGGCGAUGCGGGAUGAACCGAACGUGAGGUUAAGGUGCCGGAAUGUACGCUCAUCAGACACCACAAAAGGUGUCAAUGCAUCCAGACAGCCGGACGGUGGCCAUGGAAGUCGGAAUCCGCUUAGGAGUGUGUAUGGGGGGAUUGUUGCACACGACGAAUUCUGGUGACGCAGAAUUUAGUUGUGGGUGCUGUCACACACCACAACGAUGGCUCUAUUUGGCUGGAAAUCCCGAUGGGUGACCAGUCGUAAAUCUCAGAUUUAUCUACAGACUAGAACGAGCCAGCCAUCCUACCCUCGGGGUACAUGGUGAAGAUAUAGUCGAUCGAGGCCUCGGCAGCGACCUCAACCCGAGAACAACUCACCGGCCGAAUGCAUUGGCCCUGAAAAUGGAUGGCGCUUAAGCGUGCUACCUAUACCUCGCCGUUGGGGUUGAAAUGAUGCCCCAACGAGUAGGCAGGCGUGGGGGUUCGUGACGAAGCC
rnacentral:rRNA from 1 species